CAUCACGGAACCUUUAUGAAUAAAUCAUCUUUUAAGACUUACAAAUUGCAAUCUACAAUUCUCUCCCGCCAUGACCACACUCCCUAUCCUCUUCCCUUCACCUGCAAACUCCAUAACCAAUCACUCUCCAUUUCCACUUCUUCAUGUACAAACCCUACGAUUCUUCUCCCUCAAGUCAAUUCAGAAGAAUCCAUUCAGUUCUAAAUCUAGAAUCUUCUACAAGUUUCCGAGGUCAAUUUUUCCGGCGGAGUCUCAAGACGAAGAUGAAGAUGAAGAUGAAGACGAAGAUGAAGAAGAAGAUGACGAUGAUGAUGAAGCGGCGGAAGAGUACGACGACGUUUAUGCGGAGGUUUCGGAUGGAGGCGAAGACAGCGAAGAUGAACUGGAAAGUUCCGUUAGUAGUGAAGUGUUGAACAUUGACGAAUCGAGAAGGCAGAGAGUUGAGAAGCUUCGGAAUGAAGUUAUAGAGUUUGGUGAUGGAAUUAUUGAUGCGAAUGAACUUGCUUCUAUUUACUCUUUUCGAAUUGACAAAUUUCAGCGUUUAUCGAUUCAAGCUUUUUUGAGAGGUUCAUCUGUUGUGGUGUCUGCGCCUACAAGUAGCGGCAAAACUUUGAUUGCUGAAGCUGCUGCAGUUGCUACAGUAGCUAGGGGAAGGAGACUAUUCUAUACUACUCCUCUGAAGGCUUUAUCCAAUCAGAAAUUUCGAGAAUUUUGUGAGACAUUUGGUGAAAGUAAUGUGGGGCUUCUCACUGGAGAUUCAGCUGUUAAUAGAGAUGCACAGAUUUUAAUUAUGACAACUGAGAUUUUGCGCAAUAUGCUAUACCAGAGCGUAGGGAUUGCUUCCUCGGAUGGUGGUCUUCUUCAUGUUGAUGUAAUUGUUUUGGAUGAAGUUCACUAUUUAAGUGACAUAUCUCGGGGCACUGUUUGGGAAGAAAUAGUUAUUUAUUGCCCAAAGGAAGUUCAACUUAUAUGUCUUUCAGCAACUGUUGCUAAUCCAGAUGAGUUGGCUGGAUGGAUUGGUCAGAUUCAUGGUAGGACGGAGUUGGUAACAUCAACCAAGCGUCCAGUUCCAUUGACUUGGCACUUCUCCACAAAGACAGCUUUAUUACCUCUUCUUGAUGACAAAGGAACAAGCAUGAAUAGGAAGCUGUCACUCAACUACUUACACUAUGAUGAAUCGGGCAGUGAACUAUACAGGGAAGAAGGAUCAAAAAGAAAAAAAUCAAGAAGACGUGAAAAUGAUGUUCGUCCCCUUUCAAAGAACGAUAUAAAUAAUAUUCGCCGCUCUCAGGUACCUCAAAUUAUAGACACACUGUGGCAUCUAAAGGCAAGGGAUAUGCUUCCAGCAGUUUGGUUCAUCUUUAGCAGGAAAGGAUGUGAUGCAGCUGUCCAAUAUCUUGAAGACUGCAGGUUACUGGAUGAGUGUGAAAUGAGUGAAGUUGAACUGGCAUUCAAGAAGUUCCGUAUUCAAUACCCUGAUGCUGUGCGUGUGUCUGCAGUGAAAGGCCUCCGCCGUGGAGUGGCUUCACAUCAUGCUGGAUGUCUCCCCCUUUGGAAAUCAUUCAUUGAAGAGUUAUUUCAGCGAGGUCUAGUUAAGGUUGUCUUUGCUACUGAAACACUUGCUGCUGGCAUCAAUAUGCCUGCUAGAACAGCUGUCAUUUCAUCUCUCAGCAAAAGGGGAGAUAGUGGACGAAUCCAGUUAAGCUCAAAUGAAUUAUUCCAAAUGGCUGGGCGUGCUGGUCGUAGAGGUAUUGAUGAAAAGGGUCACGUGGUUCUUGUUCAGACUCCUUAUGAAGGGCCUGAGGAGUGCUGCAAAGUUCUUUUUUCUGGGCUUCAACCUCUUGUUUCACAAUUUACCGCCUCGUAUGGAAUGGUGCUUAAUCUCGUAGCGGGGGCCAAAGUUACCCGUAGAUCAACUGGGUUAGAUGAGAUAAAAGUCACACGAGCAGGACGGACUUUGGAAGAAGCAAGGAAGUUAAUUGAGCAGAGUUUUGGUAAUUAUGUGGGAAGCAAUGUCAUGCUUGCCGCAAAAGAGGAGCUUGCUAGAAUAGAAAAGGAAAUAGGGACACUUACUUCAGAAAUCAGUGAGGAAGCAAUUGAUAGGAAGAGCCAGAAGCUCUUAACGCAGUCAGCAUAUCAGGAGAUUGCUGAACUCCAAGAAGAAUUAAGAGCUGAAAAGCGUCUUCGAACUGAAUUGCGAAGAAAAAUGGAGCUGGAAAGAGUGUUCUCGUUGAAACCUUUGUUAAAGGAGCUAGGAGAUGAACACCUUCCAUUCAUGUCUUUGCACUACACCGACAGUGACAGGGUACAACAUUUAGUUGCUGCUGUUUAUCUGGGGAAGGUUGAUACUUUGAAUACUGAAAAGCUUAAAAGUAUGGUGUUGGACAAUGAGGCCUUUGCAUCAAAGACAGUGGUGGAAAAUCUUGAACUUGGUGAUAAUGGAGGUGAAGAUGUUAAACCAUCUUAUCAUGUGGCUCUUGGUUCAGAUAACUCUUGGUAUCUUUUCACAGAGAAGUGGAUUAGAAUGGUAUACAGAGCAGGCUUUCCAAAUGCUGCCUUAACUCUUGCUGAUGCUUUGCCUCGUGAAAUUAUGGGCGAGCUUCUUGAUAAGGCAGAGAUGCAGUGGCAGAAGUUAGCUGUGUCUGAACAUGGAGGUCUAUGGUGUAUGGAAGGUUCUUUGGAGACAUGGUCUUGGAGUUUAAAUGUUCAAGUCUUGAGUAGUCUAUCUGAAGAUGAUGAGGUCUUGCAAUUAUCUCAAGCAUACAAUGAUGCAGUAGAAUGCUACAAGAGCCAAAGGAAUAAGGUCUCUCGUUUGAAAAAAAGGAUAGCUCGUACAGAGGGCUUUAAACAGUACCAGAAGAUAAUUGAUUCAGCUAAGUUCACUGAGGAAAAGAUUCGACGGUUGAAGGUUAGGUCGAAGCGUUUGAUUGGUCGUAUAGAGCAGAUUGAGCCAACUGGUUGGAAGGAAUUUCUGCAGGUCAGCAAUGUUAUACAUGAAAGUAGAGCAUUGGAUAUCAAUACACACGUCAUUUUCCCCCUAGGUGAAACUGCAGCUGCAAUUCGAGGAGAAAAUGAACUUUGGCUUGCGAUGGUUCUUCGAAAUAAAUUGUUGCUGAACCUAAAACCUGCACAGUUGGCUGCAGUUCUUGGUAGUCUAGUUUCUGAAGGCAUUAGGCUUCGGCCCUGGAAAAAUAACAGUUUCGUUUAUGAACCCUCUACCACUGUCUUGAAUAUCAUAGACUUACUGGAAGAACAAAAAAGUUCACUUCUAGAGCUCCAGGAAAAGCAUGGUGUAAAUAUUCCUUGCUGCUUGGAUAGACAAUUCACUGGUAUGGUUGAAGCCUGGGCUUCUGGUCUUACUUGGAAAGAGAUUAUGACGGACUGUGCAAUGGAUGAAGGAGAUUUGGCUCGCCUUCUACGGAGAACGAUUGAUUUGUUAGCUCAGGUUCCCAAAUUGCCUGAUAUAGAUCCACUGCUGCAAAUUAAUGCCAAGAGUGCCUCUAACGUAAUGGACCGCCCACCUAUAAGUGAAUUAGCAGGAUGAUAUUCAGACCAAAAUUCAUCGUCUCCUUAAGAAGUCGAACUCAAAGGCAAGGAUUGUGCAGGCCUUAGAGCAAGCAGAGUGGCAAGAAUCUAGCGACAGCGUCUCGAUAGUAGAUGAAGUGUUAAUAAACCAAGAAAAUCAGUAUUUUCCCAUCAGAACUAUUAUCUGUAUACAUCUCUUUUAAGGAGUAUUGACACUUGGUAGAAUGAACGCACUGCUGCGGAAAUGAAGUGUAGAUUCAAUGUAAAAGAGAGAGAUUUUCUCAGUAGAAAUACAUGGCAUAGCAGAAUCCUACAUUUGAUGCAGAAGAUAUGGCUAUGCCUCUAAAUUAUACAUUAAAGUUGAUUGUCCUCCAAUUAGCUAGGAGCAUUGUCCUUUUUACCCCCUUUUUUCUGGAGUAGCAACAUAGACUAGACAGAAUAGUAUGUGACUGGCUUUUACAAAAUGUGAUUGUUGUAUAUUCCAUAACAAGAAGCAAUUUGUUAUUUGUAGAUCAACCAGGAUUUUAGCCAAAAUGUAUAUCACUCCGUUCGGAAACCAAUCCUCUUUGUUUUCAUAUCCAAAACGAGGGGUAUUAAUAGUACGGUUUGGAUGGUUAUUUUUGAAAAAUUAUGUAAUGUCAAAUUUUUAGUUACUUUAUUGUGCAUAAUCAAAUUAAAUUUGAUUUCUUGUCA